UCAACAGGCGUUUGCGUCCGAUCUCCGAACACGUACAGGGAGGGACAGUCAACGGUGGGAACACAGCUUCGAUGAGCGCCACAAUGGCAGCCCUGCAGUAGAUGGCAGUUCAGCAAACACAAAGGAUGCACCAUGAAUUCAGUGGAAUUCAUUAAGAGUAAUAAAAAAAAAAAAAAAAACCUUGGGGUAUCUCCCCCCUCAUGCAGCGGAGUCCGCCGAUGUGCGGUCUGAUAGUGUCUGUGCGGCAGGGCUCCACCAGCACCGCGCUCUGGACUGCGCCUGACCCACGGUCUCCGAGUGACGUCAGCCGGGACCCCAUGGGGACGCGGUGAGUCAGACCCGGCCCGGCCGCCUGUGCACCGUGGCAGCCAUUAGGCCGUCAUUGGUAAUCCCAGCAACACCUUCUCACACUCUUUGGCAUUUGUUUCAAUGUGCUUCUGUGAAGGCUGCUUUAUUUACGAGAGCUGUCACUCCCUGUUCUCUUUGCUGUGGAGGGGAAUGUGCAUUUUCUUCCUUGUUUUUCAAGGCUCUUUCAAUUUUGUUACAGGCUGCAAGGACGGGGGAACAGCACUGGGUGAAGAAAGCCAAUCAACUCCUGGUGGCAUGACGUUAUGUGGAUGGUCUCUUAUACCAGGAAAAGCAUAGCUGGCUUAUUCACAAUGAAACACUUUUGUCUAGUUUGUUUUUAGCUAGUGAAACUACCAG